CUCAAAACAGCGAUACUUCAUUUCGUUUGUACCUCAAUUGUCGCUGCUUAACAGAUCGAGCUUUUCUCCUCUGAUUUGUUCUUUCCGUUCAAACCUGCUACAUUCAAUUAAUAUUGGUUUAACUUUUGAAUUUCUUUUUGCAGAAAUAUCUACUACAAGAACUUAGCCAUGCCUCUAUUUUUUACAUUGGUUGACAAUUUGCACUAUUCUGUUACUUCUUCCGUGAUAAAAGUCCGUUGCACCCGUGAUUAUGAUGUUGCAAUGCCUGGAAAUAAGAAGGAGAUCAUUAGCUUAGAUUGUGUUCUUCAUGAGCGAAAGGUCCAAGAAGCUUCAACAUCGUACCACAAGCCAUCAAUAUUGACUCAUUAUGUUCUCCAAAACAGAGUUCUUUGAGAUAUGUGAUGCUAAUUUCCCUUCAAGGAUCUUCUCUUUUCAGCCUUUUGAUGAGAAAUCCAAGCUAAAGAAUCUUAAAGGGGAAAUUAUGUUUGGCCGGCCAAGUUGUAACUCAAUCCAAUUCAAGGCUUAGAGAAUCAAGUUGCUGAUGAGAAGUAUAUUUUUUUCUGUUUCUGUAUUGAUAGUUUUUGUUUCAGAUUCAGUUUCAGAUUUGAUAAAAGAUUGUUUGUGUUUAUGUUUGUUUCUAUAAAGUUUCAAUAUGUUUCUGUUUA